AUUGAACGCUGGCGGCAGGCCUAACACAUGCAAGUCGAGCGGAUGAAGGGAGCUUGCUCCUGGAUUCAGCGGCGGACGGGUGAGUAAUGCCUAGGAAUCUGCCUGGUAGUGGGGGAUAACGUCCGGACACGGGCGCUAAUACCGCAUACGUCCUGAGGGAGAAAGUGGGGGAUCUUCGGACCUCACGCUAUCAGAUGAGCCUAGGUCGCAUUAGCUAGUUGGUGGGGUAAAGGCCUACCAAGGCGACGAUCCGUAACUGGUCUGAGAGGAUGAUCAGUCACACUGGAACUGAGACACGGUCCAGACUCCUACGGGAGGCAGCAGUGGGGAAUAUUGGACAAUGGGCGAAAGCCUGAUCCAGCCAUGCCGCGUGUGUGAAGAAGGUCUUCGGAUUGUAAAGCACUUUAAGUUGGGAGGAAGGGCAGUAAGUGAAUACCUUGCUGUUUUGACGUUACCAACAGAAUAAGCACCGGCUAACUUCGUG
rnacentral:rRNA from 1 species